UACAGAGGGUGCAAGCGUUGUUCGGAAUUAUUGGGCGUAAAGGGCGCGUAGGCGGGUUGGUAAGUCCGUGGUGAAAUCUCCGAGCUUAACUCGGAAACUGCCGUGGAUACCAUCAAUCUUGAAUAUCGUGGAGGUAAGCGGAAUAUGUCAUGUAGCGGUGAAAUGCUUAGAUAUGACAUAGAACACCAAUUGCGUAGGCAGCUUACUACACGAUCAUUGACGCUGAGGCACGAAAGCGUGGGGAGCAAACAGG
rnacentral:rRNA from 1 species